rnacentral:tRNA from 1 species
AUUUAUAUAGUUUAAUAAAAACAUUACAUUUUCAUUGUAAAAUUAGAUUUUUCUUAUAAAUA